GGAGGCUAGAAAUCCAAAAUCAAGGUGUCAGCAGGCAGGGUUGGCUCCUUCUGAGGGCUGUAACGAAAGGAUCUGUUCCAGGACUCUCUCGCUGGCCUGUAGG